UACGGAGGGAGCUAGCGUUGUUCGGAAUUACUGGGCGUAAAGCGCACGUAGGCGGCUUUUCAAGUCAGGGGUGAAAGCCCGGGGCUCAACCCCGGAAUUGCCCUUGAAACUGGAAGGCUAGAAUCACGGAGAGGUGGGUGGAAUUCCGAGUGUAGAGGUGAAAUUCGUAGAUAUUCGGAAGAACACCAGUGGCGAAGGCGGCCCACUGGACGUGUAUUGACGCUGAGGUGCGAAAGCGUGGGGAGCGAACAGG
rnacentral:rRNA from 1 species